CCUACGGGUGGCAGCAGUGAGGAAUAUUGGUCAAUGGGAGGAAUCCUGAACCAGCCAUGCCGCGUGCAGGACGACGGCUCUACGAGUUGUAAACUUCUUUUAUCAGGGACGAAGCAAGUGACGGUACCUGAUGAAUAAGCCACGGCUAACUACGUGCCAGCAGCCGCGGUAAUACGUAGGUGGCAAGCGUUAUCCGGAUUUACUGGGUGUAAAGGGCGUGUAGGCGGGAGUGCAAGUCAGAUGUGAAAACUAUGGGCUCAACCCAUAGCCUGCAUUUGAAACUGUACUUCUUGAGUGCUGGAGAGGCAAUCGGAAUUCCGUGUGUAGCGGUGAAAUGCGUAGAUAUACGGAGGAACACCAGUGGCGAAGGCGGAUUGCUGGACAGUAACUGACGCUGAGGCGCGAAAGCGUGGGGAGCAAACAGGAUUAGAUACCCGUGUAGUC
rnacentral:rRNA from 1 species